AACCGGGGAGGGUCAUUGGAAACUGGGAAACUUGAGUGCAGAAGAGGAGAGUGGAAUUCCACGUGUAGCGGUGAAAUGCGUAGAGAUGUNGGAGGAACACCAGNUGGCGAAGGCGACUCUCUGGUCUGUAACUGACGCUGAGGAGCGAAAGCGUGGGGAGCGAACAGGAUUAGAUACCCUGGUAGUCCACGCCGUAAACGAUGAGUGCUAAGUGUUAGGGGGUUUCCGCCCCUUAGUGCUGCAGCUAACGCAUUAAGCACUCCGCCUGGGGAGUACGGUCGCAAGACUGAAACUCAAAGGAAUUGACGGGGGCCCGCACAAGCGGUGGAGCAUGUGGUUUAAUUCGAAGCAACGCGAAGAACCUUACCAGGUCUUGACAUCCUCUGACAACCCUAGAGAUAGGGCUUUCCCUUCGGGGACAGAGUGACAGGUGGUGCAUGGUUGUCGUCAGCUCGUGUCGUGAGAUGUUGGGUUAAGUCCCGCAACGAGCGCAACCCUUGAUCUUAGUUGCCAGCAUUCAGUUGGGCACUCUAAGGUGACUGCCGGUGACAAANCCGGANGGAAGGUGGGGNAUGACGUCAAAUCAUCAUGCCCCNUUAUGACCUGGGNCUACACACNGUGCUACAANUGGANCAGAACNAAAGGGCUNGCAAGANCCGCAAGGNUUUAGCCNAAUCCCANUAAANUCUGNUUCUCAGNUUCGGANUCGNCANGUCUNGCAACUCGACUGCGUGAA
rnacentral:rRNA from 1 species